CGCGCUUCCUUUUUCCCAGCUGCCGCGGUGCUGGCGUGUCUCGUGUUGAGAGAUUGGGCCUGCUGCCGUUCACGCUAUCCUCCUCUCACCCCUCCGUAGCCUCGCCGCUACCCGCCCUGCACACGCCGGGCCUACCUCUCAAGGCUGCGGGAUGUUGAGAGCGGCACGGAGCUGCUGGGCCUCCCGGCCUGCUGGGACCAAGGCCCGGAAGGCCUGGUCCGCCGCAUGCGCGGUGAGAGGGGCCGGGGCCCGCGAGGGCCGCACCUGCCCCCGCCUCGGCUCGCGCAUCCCUGCGCUGCAGUGCGACGGCUGUGCCAGAUGAAGAUUCCAGGAGGACUUUGAAGUGGAGCUUUUUGGUGAGGAUUCUGGGGUCAUGACUGAUGGAACACAACCGCCUCGGGGCCUGGUUGCCCCCAAGUGUCCCUGUCAGCAUCUGCUACUGAAGAGUCUGAGGACACCGGUUGUUGCUGUGUUUUUAGAUAAGGUGGUUACCAGUAAAGCUGUCCCGUCUGAUGAUGGGUGUAGAGUUGGGACAGAAACACUAUGGGAAGAGGCAAGCUGAAUGAAGAGAACAGAUUAUUUUAGUGGAAAACCAUGACCUUUGUAUUUCUGAUACUGCUGGCACAUGGCACGGAAGUGACCAGUAAAAUACUUGAAGUAUGUU